GCAAGUCGAGCGGAUCUUCAUUAGCUUGCUUUUGAAGAUCAGCGGCGGACGGGUGAGUAACACGUGGGCAACCUGCCUGUAAGACUGGGAUAACUUCGGGAAACCGGAGCUAAUACCGGAUAAUCCUUUCCCUCUCAUGAGGGAAAGCUGAAAGACGGUUUCGGCUGUCACUUACAGAUGGGCCCGCGGCGCAUUAGCUAGUUGGUGAGGUAACGGCUCACCAAGGCGACGAUGCGUAGCCGACCUGAGAGGGUGAUCGGCCACACUGGGACUGAGACACGGCCCAGACUCCUACGGGAGGCAGCAGUAGGGAAUCUUCCGCAAUGGACGAAAGUCUGACGGAGCAACGCCGCGUGAACGAUGAAGGCCUUCGGGUCGUAAAGUUCUGUUGUCAGGGAAGAACAAGUACCGGAGUAACUGCCGGUACCUUGACGGUACCUGACCAGAAAGCCACGGCUAACUACGUGCCAGCAGCCGCGGUAAUACGUAGGUGGCAAGCGUUGUCCGGAAUUAUUGGGCGUAAAGCGCGCGCAGGCGGUUCCUUAAGUCUGAUGUGAAAGCCCCCGGCUCAACCGGGGAGGGUCAUUGGAAACUGGGGAACUUGAGUGCAAAAGAGGAGAGCGGAAUUCCACGUGUAGCGGUGAAAUGCGUAAAGAUGUGGAGGAACACCAGUGGCGAAGGCGGCUCUCUGGUCUGUAACUGACGCUGAGGCGCGAAAGCGUGGGGAGCGAACAGGAUUAGAUACCCUGGUAGUCCACGCCGUAAACGAUGAGUGCUAAGUGUUAGAGGGUUUCCGCCCUUUAGUGCUGCAGCAAACGCAUUAAGCACUCCGCCUGGGGAGUACGGCCGCAAGGCUGAAACUCAAAGGAAUUGACGGGGGCCCGCACAAGCGGUGGAGCAUGUGGUUUAAUUCGAAGCAACGCGAAGAACCUUACCAGGUCUUGACAUCCUCUGACAACCCUAGAGAUAGGGCGUUCCCCUUCGGGGGACAGAGUGACAGGUGGUGCAUGGUUGUCGUCAGCUCGUGUCGUGAGAUGUUGGGUUAAGUCCCGCAACGAGCGCAACCCUUGAUCUUAGUUGCCAGCAUUCAGUUGGGCACUCUAAGGUGACUGCCGGUGACAAACCGGAGGAAGGUGGGGAUGACGUCAAAUCAUCAUGCCCCUUAUGACCUGGGCU
rnacentral:rRNA from 2 species